AUUGAACGCUGGCGGCAGGCCUAACACAUGCAAGUCGCACGAGUGUCGGACGGGUGAGUAAUGUCUGGGAAACUGCCCGAUGGAGGGGGAUAACUACUGGAAACGGUAGCUAAUACCGCAUACCAUCGGAUGUGCCCAGAUGGGAUGAGCUUGUAGGUGGGGUAACGGCUCACCUGGGCGACGCUCCCUCGCUGGUCUGAGAGGAUGACAAGCCACACUGGAAGUUAGACACGUGCAAGAGGUAUACUGUAGGCAGCAGGGGGGAAUAUGGCACAAGGGGCGCAGGGAGGACGCAGCCAUGCGGCGUGUAUGAAGAAGGCCUUCGGGUGGUAAAGUACUUGCAGCGGGGAGGCGUUACCCGCAGAAGAAGCACCGGCUAACUCCGUGCCAGCAGCCGCGGUAAUAC
rnacentral:rRNA from 1 species